rnacentral:rRNA from 1 species
UAGGGAAUCUUCCGCAAUGGGCGAAAGCCUGACGGAGCAACGCCGCGUGAGUGAUGAAGGUCUUCGGAUCGUAAAACUCUGUUAUUAGGGAAGAACAAAUGUGUAAGUAACUAUGCACGUCUUGACGGUACCUAAUCAGAAAGCCACGGCUAACUACGUGCCAGCAGCCGCGGUAAUACGUAGGUGGCAAGCGUUAUCCGGAACUAUUGGGCGUAAAGCGCGCGUAGGCGGUUUUUUAAGUCUGGUGUGAAAGACCACGGCUCAACCGUGGAGGGUCAGUGAAAACUGGAAAACUUGAGUGCUGAAGAGAAAAGUGGAUUUCCAUGUGGAGCGGUGAAAUGCGCAGAGAUAUGGAAGAACACCAGUGGCGAAGGCGACGUUCUGGUCUAUAACAGACGCUGAUGUGCGAAAGCGUGGGGAUCAAGCAGG